rnacentral:snoRNA from 1 species
CUCUUGUGAUGAAUCCAACUCUCAGUUCUGCUUCCGAAAGGUGGCCACACCUUGUGGAAACCCAAUACCAAUGACUCUCAUCUGAUUU